rnacentral:rRNA from 1 species
GUUUUCAAAAAUUUAGUUAAUAGUAUUUCACGAAAGACGUGGAGCUAAUUAUAUUAUAAUAUUGGCUACUAAAUUGCGUGUGGCAACAUGUAAAGAAUAAAUAUAGUUAGUGGUGAUAGGCUUAUCAACAUGUUAGAUAUCUUGAUCUGCAGGAAAAAUAUUUAGUAUUCAACUAAACUAGAAAUGGCUAGAUUUCUAGUUAACAUUAAAAUUAAUGUCCGAAGCUUCGGUUUUUGUAAGUAAUACUGUUUUUAUUCUUUUAUAAUAUUAUAUUAAUAGGUUAUGGCUAAUACUGCGGCGGUUUACCUACUAAGUAAGGAAGUUGUUAAUGAAAAUAUUAGUAUUAUUUGGAAUUUUUAGGAAGGAACUCGGCAAAUCUUUACUCAACUGUUUAACAAAAACAUAGCUAAAUGAGAUUGCGUUUGGUUUUUUCUGCUCAAUGAAUAAUUUAAAUAGCCGCAGUA